UUAAGUUCAGCGGGUAUUCCUACCUGAUCCGAGGUCAACCUUAGUUAAAGAUGGGGUCUUUAACGGCAGGAGCACCGCCGCAACGUCCGUAGCGAGAUAGUGAAUUACUACGCUCGGAGUUGUAGCGAGCCCGCCACUUCCUUCAGGCCGUACGGCAGCCGUAGGGCCCCAACACCAAGCAGGGCUUGAGGGUUGAAAUG
rnacentral:misc_RNA from 1 species